rnacentral:tRNA from 1 species
GGAUUAUGGCUCAGUGGUAGAGUGCUUGCCUAGCACGUGCAAUGCCCUGGGUUUGAUCCUCAGCACCA